GUUUAGGAGCGUGGGGCAGGGGGAAUGAUCUUCCAGGGAGGAAAAUAGACCUUGAAACCCCACUGAAAUGUACUGUGAUCAGGAGACUGUUCUGGAGAGAGCAGAAUUUCUAUUAAAUGGGUAUGAAGAUCACCACUUCAGUACGUCAGCUGUAUGUUUUUCAGUGACACUUCUUUGUCAUAUACUUUCAAAGAUGGCAUUAAAUUUGUCACUAGCUCUAGCCAUCUCCUUCUUUCUCCAGGCGAUGUUUUGAUAAAUGUUGAUGAGUUUAUAACUGUAAAACCAAAUGACAUUUAUAGCGUGAUACAUGCUUUACCCAUUGCAUAAUUACAUCUAAUGGCUUCACAUGUAGAAAGGCAUUUACCAUUUACUUCUGUGUAAAAUGACAAUCUAAAGCCUCAGGCCUGAAUUUUUUUUUUUUUUAACACAAAGAUAAAGACUUAAUUAAAAACCCAACACAAUUUAUUUUUGUAUCUGGCAUUUAAGGUACCUAGUUCUUUGGUUAAAUCUGUGAUAAUCAGGAUGCUUCUAGUAACAAAGAUCAGUGGGUUUUGUGUUUUUCUCCUCUCUCUUUGAAACAUGGGUGAACUCAUUUAAUUAUCAAGCUGAUAUCUGCUAUGACUUCUUGUUUCUCAUUUCUAGUUAAAAGAGCUAUUUUGAAAUUUAGCACAGAAUUGAAUAAUGUGUUCAGUUAAUGAGGAACAUUUAAGAGGAGUUUCUAAAAUUAAUGUGAUAGCAAAAUGAUAAACCAGCGUGGAGGUAUAGACAGACAGCGAUGAUGUUUCAAGCCUGCUGGUUGUAGUCAGGCCAAGGUUUGUGGGCUUUUACUUUUUGAUUUGGUAUUUUCUGUAUUCUGACAUCU
rnacentral:lncRNA from 1 species